rnacentral:rRNA from 1 species
AGAGUUUGAUCAUGGCUCAGAUUGAACGCUGGCGGCAGGCCUAACACAUGCAAGUCGAACGGUAACAGGAAGCAGCUUGCUGCUUCGCUGACGAGUGGCGGACGGGUGAGUAAUGUCUGGGAAACUGCCUGAUGGAGGGGGAUAACUACUGGAAACGGUGGCUAAUACCGCAUAACGUCGCAAGACCAAAGAGGGGGACCUUCGGGCCUCUUGCCAUCAGAUGUGCCCAGAUGGGAUUAGCUAGUUGGUGAGGUAACGGCUCACCAAGGCGACGAUCCCUAGCUGGUCUGAGAGGAUGACCAGCCACACUGGAACUGAGACACGGUCCAGACUCCUACGGGAGGCAGCAGUGGGGAAUAUUGCACAAUGGGCGCAAGCCUGAUGCAGCCAUGCCGCGUGUAUGAAGAAGGCCUUCGGGUUGUAAAGUACUUUCAGCGGGGAGGAAGGUGUUGUGGUUAAUAACCACAGCAAUUGACGUUACCCGCAGAAGAAGCACCGGCUAACUCCGUGCCAGCAGCCGCGGUAAUACGGAGGGUGCAAGCGUUAAUCGGAAUUACUGGGCGUAAAGCGCACGCAGGCGGUCUGUCAAGUCGGAUGUGAAAUCCCCGGGCUCAACCUGGGAACUGCAUUCGAAACUGGCAGGCUUGAGUCUUGUAGAGGGGGGUAGAAUUCCAGGUGUAGCGGUGAAAUGCGUAGAGAUCUGGAGGAAUACCGGUGGCGAAGGCGGCCCCCUGGACAAAGACUGACGCUCAGGUGCGAAAGCGUGGGGAGCAAACAGGAUUAGAUACCCUGGUAGUCCACGCCGUAAACGAUGUCUACUUGGAGGUUGUGCCCUUGAGGCGUGGCUUCCGGAGCUAACGCGUUAAGUAGACCGCCUGGGGAGUACGGCCGCAAGGUUAAAACUCAAAUGAAUUGACGGGGGCCCGCACAAGCGGUGGAGCAUGUGGUUUAAUUCGAUGCAACGCGAAGAACCUUACCUGGUCUUGACAUCCACAGAACUUUCCAGAGAUGGACUGGUGCCUUCGGGAACUGUGAGACAGGUGCUGCAUGGCUGUCGUCAGCUCGUGUUGUGAAAUGUUGGGUUAAGUCCCGCAACGAGCGCAACCCUUAUCCUUUGUUGCCAGCGGUUAGGCCGGGAACUCAAAGGAGACUGCCAGUGAUAAACUGGAGGAAGGUGGGGAUGACGUCAAGUCAUCAUGGCCCUUACGACCAGGGCUACACACGUGCUACAAUGGCGCAUACAAAGAGAAGCGACCUCGCGAGAGCAAGCGGACCUCAUAAAGUGCGUCGUAGUCCGGAUUGGAGUCUGCAACUCGACUCCAUGAAGUCGGAAUCGCUAGUAAUCGUGGAUCAGAAUGCCACGGUGAAUACGUUCCCGGGCCUUGUACACACCGCCCGUCACACCAUGGGAGUGGGUUGCAAAAGAAGUAGGUAGCUUAACCUUCGGGAGGGCGCUUACCACUUUGUGAUUCAUGACUGGGGUGAAGUCGUAACAAGGUAACCGUAGGGGAACCUGCGGUUGGAUCACCU